rnacentral:rRNA from 1 species
AUUGAACGCUGGCGGCAGGCCUAACACAUGCAAGUCGAGCGGAUGAAGGGAGCUUGCUCCUGGAUUCAGCGGCGGACGGGUGAGUAAUGCCUAGGAAUCUGCCUGGUAGUGGGGGAUAACGUCCGGAAACGGGCGCUAAUACCGCAUACGUCCUGAGGGAGAAAGUGGGGGAUCUUCGGACCUCACGCUAUCAGAUGAGCCUAGGUCGGAUUAGCUAGUUGGUGGGGUAAAGGCCUACCAAGGCGACGAUCCGUAACUGGUCUGAGAGGAUGAUCAGUCACACUGGAACUGGGACACGGUCCAGACUCCUACGGGAGGCAGCAGUGGGGAAUAUUGGACAAUGGGCGAAAGCCUGAUCCAGCCAUGCCGCGUGUGCGAAGAAGGUCUUCGGAUUGUAAAGCACUUUAAGUUGGGAGGAAGGGCAGUAAGUUAAUACCUUGCUGUUUUGACGUUACCAACAGAAUAAGCACCGGCUAACUUCGUG